CCUACGGGGAGCAGCAGUGAGGAAUAUUGGUCAAUGGGCGCGAGCCUGAACCAGCCAAGUCGCGUGAGGGAAGACGGUCCUAUGGAUUGUAAACCUCUUUUGUCGGGGAGCAAAAGACGCCACGCGUGGCGUUCCGAGAGUACCCGAAGAAAAAGCAUCGGCUAACUCCGUGCCAGCAGCCGCGGUAAUACGGAGGAUGCGAGCGUUAUCAGGAUUUCUUGGGUUUAAAGGGGGCUCAGGGGGAAGAGCAAGUCAGCGGUAAAAUUGAGGGGAUCAACCUCUUCGAGCCGUUGAAACUGGUUUUCUUGAGUGAGUGAGAAGUAUGCGGAAUGCGUGGUGUAGCGGUGGAAUGCAUAGAUAUCACGAAGAACUCCGAUUGCGAAGGCAGCAUACCGGCGCUCAACUGACGCUCAUGCACGAAAGUGUGGGUAUCGAACAGGAUUAGAUACCCGUGUAGUC
rnacentral:rRNA from 1 species